CUUGGUGGUCAUACCGCCUUGUCAAAGCCUGAUGUCGUAAAAUCUCAGAAGCUAAACAAGGGCCUGGUUAGUACUUGGAUGGGAGACUGUGGGAAUACAGGUGCUAUUGGGG
rnacentral:rRNA from 1 species